rnacentral:lncRNA from 1 species
GACUUGACCGCCCUCUACAUAAGACUUGUUCACCUCCAGGUCCUCCACGCCGCACAACUUGACAGACUACACGUACGUAUGGAGUAUAAAGCUAGAAGAAGAAGAAAAAAAAAUCAAUUUUCUCAACGCCAUGGAAUUCCAACAAAUCAAUUUUCUCAACGCCAUGGAAUUCCAUGAUCUCGGUGAGACCACAAGUAUGUGCGUAGACUCUGGCUGGCUUGAAUAUAUCUCAUUAACUUGCAGAGGGGAAAA